UAGUAAGGUAGUUCUGCUAAAUGCGCGGCGUCCUGCCGCAACGCAGAACUGACCGGCCUCCUGCCGG
rnacentral:sRNA from 1 species